UAAAUAAAACAAUGUUGUGGGUUUGAGUUCUUUUUUAAAAUUGGGGAAGCACAAGAAGAAUUUGUCUUUGAAUUUGUCAAGGCAGAGAAUUCAUGAGCAAACACAUGGAGGAUUCAAAGCCAGUCUGGGUUCAUUGAAGCAAUUAAGAAAAACUGACUUUGACUGAUGUAAGUAGAAAGGAAAUGUCUUUGGAAGAAUGUUGAGAAGCAGAGAAGAAUUGAGGCCUGAUUGGCCUCCUCUGAGCACAAAGGAGAAAAGCUGCACUAAAGGGUGACUGCAUAUUAGGGAAAACUUAAGACAGCUGAGGUUAAGUUGUUUACCAGAGAAUAUACUAAUGGAUAUUGGAAACCAGAUGAAUGUUGUGUUACCUUGAUUGUGCCGGUGUUUGGGUGAAUAAAAGUGAGCUGAGCCAAAGGCUUGGGGCUCCUCUGCUUGCUAGAGAUACAUGUGCCCUGGCUGCCCGCAUGUUGAGCUGACUCCAUGUCUCUAUUAUUCAUCCUCAUUCAACCUACUGGGCAGGAAGAACAAAGGAGUGGCUCUGCAUGCAAGAGCAAGCCCGGCUGGCCGGCCUGGAGUCUGUAUUGGAAAAGGUGUAGGGGUAAAGGAAACCAGGAAGCAGGAACCACAGCCAAAGUUACUCCACAGUGCAACUUGACCUCAAAGACACUAUCCUCUGGAUGCUGGUGGUGUCCCUGCCACUGAAGAGGAUUCUGGGUACUACUGUUCCUGUUGGAAAGAAUUCUGCAACACAAGAGGGAGGCUUCAAAGGUAACUCUGGGCAGUGGUAUGGUCAGAGGUGUUUCAGCAAGAAUCCUGGGAGCUCUAUAAGAGGAAAUAAAGUGAAGAAAGAGAUUACUGUCAGACCCCCGCCCAGGCAGAAGAGAAAAAACUUCCCAGGCAAUGCAGUUACACAUCCUGCAAGGCGCAAAGGAUAACAGGAAGCCAAGGCCCAGGUUUGAGAUAAGCAGCCUGGCUCUCAUGCAGCAACACCUGCGGGCCCAGACACCCCUGGAGACCACCAGCCUUCCUCUGCCCGAGAACAAAAGACUUCCUCCACUCCAGGACAAAAAUUUCCCACUCCUCCUGGCACUACCCCUCCCCUACCCAAACUCCCCUAUAAAGUUUCCCCUUGCCUAAGUCCCCAGGAUCAAUGGCUUUGUUGCCCUUGACUAGCCUGCACCUGGGCUAGAAAUAAAACCUCACUUGUUGCUUCCUUUUUGCCUGCUCUGGUGGUCUCGGUUGUGCCUCGGUUUACCCUAACAAUUACUACUUCACAGUGUGCCCUUAACCACAUAGUGAAUGCAGAGGGGGAACAGGAAGAAGCUAGAAAGAAGAAAAUGAGCUAGGUGUUAGUCAGUGGAGGUCAAAGAGCAGAUAUAGGGCCAGGGAUUUAGCUCAGUGGUUUCGCUGCCUGCUGUGCAAGCGCAAGGACCCAAGUUCAAUCCCCGGUACCAAAAAACAAAACAAAAAAACCAGAUAUAUUCAGUGGGCAGUUAGAGGUUUAAACUCACAAGAUAGAUCACAAAGAUGAGAGAAUGGGGUGUGAGGGAUUUAGCUCAGUGGUUCCGCCACCUGCCUCGCAAGUGCAAGGUCCCAAGUUCGAUCCCCAGUACCAAAAAAAGUUAACAUACUAGAGAAUGAGCUGGAUGGUUGAUCCAUAGUUAUGGAUUGAAUAUGGUUUUCAUCAAAUAAAGUCCAUGAGGCAUACUAUAAAGUGAUCACGUUAUUUAACAUAAUAACUGAAUGAGGUACA
ensembl:lncRNA